rnacentral:rRNA from 1 species
GUAGUUAGCCGUGACUUAUUCCUCAGGUACCGUCAUUAUUCUUCCCUGAGAAAAGGGGUUUACAAUCCGAAGACAUUCAUCCCCCACGCGACGUCGCUGCGUCAGGCUUUCGCCCAUUGCGCAAUAUUCCUUG